rnacentral:rRNA from 1 species
UACGAAGGGGGCUAGCGUUGCUCGGAAUCACUGGGCGUAAAGGGUGCGUAGGCGGGUCUUUAAGUCAGAGGGGAAAUCCUGGAGCUCAACUCCAGAACUGCCUUUGAUACUGAGGAUCCUGAGUUCGGGAGAGGUGAGUGGAACUGCGAGUGUAGAGGUGAAAUUCGUAGAUAUUCGCAAGAACACCAGUGGCGAAGGCGGCUCACUGGCCCGAUACUGACGCUGAGGCACGAAAGCGUGGGGAGCAAACAGG